rnacentral:lncRNA from 1 species
AAAAUUAACAGUAUAAAAGGACUAAUUUCAUGUAGCUCCCUAUAAACAUAUCGAAUUACAAAAAUAUUUCUACAAAGUUCAACUUUUCAUAUUUACUCUUGCAAAAAUCUAGUGAUAUUCAUAUUUGUGUCUCUAGUUUGUUACCAUUAGAAUAUUGUUUAUUUUUUAACAGAAGAUAUAAGUAAAAUAAUAUUUUUGUCAUCACAAAUAUGUCCUACUAAAAGUCUCAACUGUUAAAAUAAUACAGAAUGUCCAUCCAAAAAAAAAAUCCUCAAUGGUCAUCUUCUUCCUUUCUACCGUUACAAAUAAUGUAAGAGGAGUAAAAUUAAUUUACCUCAUUCAUUAACCAGAAUUAAGUAUUUUAUCUAUGGUUAAUUAAAUUAUUCUACAUUACAACAAAAACAGUCUAUAGCGACACUUUUAAAUGUCGAUACAGAUCAAAAAAAGUGCUGCUGGCUAAAUUACCGUCACUUUUAAAAAGUGUUGCUAUAUGUGGGGUCGCUAGAUAUAUAGUGACAGUUAAAGAGUAUCGCUAAAACCUAAAAAAGUGUUGCUAAUUUACCAACACUUAUUUAAGCAUCUAGCAACCGCUGAAACUCUACCUCGUUGGCUACGGUGGCGGAGGAGGACGAGAGGAAAGGGAUUUUCGUCUAGGAUUUCAGUGGAUUGAGUGAGGGAAGAAAAGGAGACAGUAAUCAAUUUUUUUUUUUUCUUUUCUGUUUGUAAUCGGGCCGAAUGGAUUGGAUGGGGUAGGUUGAGUAGAGUAAUAUUUUAUUUUUGAUUGGAUUGAGCUUUUUACUUAACUAUUAAUAGAUUUUUUUAAAAAUUUUGGUAUAAAUAGAGCACUUACAUAAAAGUGUUCCAAACAUGUGUCACUAUAACUUAAUUCUGUUGUAGUGCUAAUGGUACUCCUAACGGCAAAGGUAUAUUAAUUUGCAAAGGUUAGGUCUUUUCCAAGAAUAAAUUAUGAAAAAUUGAACUCUAUAGGAAUAUAUUUACUAUCCAAUAUGUUUAG